CAUCCGAAAACAACACCUAUUAUCUUGGGCUUGGCAGCAAGGAAGAGGACAGGUAGUGGAAAUCCUGCAAUCGGAAAAGCAGACUGAAAGGUGACAAAGAAGCUGAAGAUGGGUGGUGAAGAGAGGUAUAACAUUCCAGCCCCUCAAUCUAGAAAUGGUAGUAAGAACCAACAGAAGCUUAAUAGAAGACUAAGGAUCAGAAUUCCCAGAUGAAAAUUGUUUAUAAAAAAAAAAAAGAAAGAGGACAUGGUUAUAACUCAUCAGCAGCUGCAUAGCAGGCCAUGCAAAAUGGGGGGAAGAACAAAAAUUUUCCAAGUAAUCCAAAUUGGAAUGCUAGCUUAUCAAGUCCCACUUUACUUUUUAAGUCUCAAGUUAAUCAGAACUAUUAUGGAGCCAAAUUUAGUGAGGCACCAUCACCAAGUGUUCUUCCUAAACCACCAAGCCACUAGGUUCCUGUGAACUUUAAUCCUUCAGACAAGGAAAUAAUGACAUUUCAACUUAAAACCUUACUUAAAGUCCAAGUAUAAAAUAAGAUAUAAAGUACUAAUGUUUAAAUUUA